rnacentral:lncRNA from 1 species
CACUGGCGAAAAGAAGGGCAUCAUGGACAAGAUCAAGGAGAAGCUGCCCGGACAGCACUGAGCGCGGCCCGCGGCAGCUACUUGAGAGUUGGGGUGCCGAGCUGGCCACCUUUGCAGAAUAAUAAGAUGGAGAUACAGUAGAACUUCCCGAAAUAAAGUGAGCUAGCUCACUCGUAAUAUCCGAGUUCUGAGUUUAGUGGACUUGAAUUUGGGUUGCUUGCUUGUAUUUGUAUGUACCCGGGACGUUUUGCACUCUGUACUUCGAUGUGUGAUUUUUUUUUGGUUGCAUUGUGUAUUUAUUAUAUGGGGAUAUACUGCAUUAUAUUUUGGUCUUUACUUGAGCUUUCUAUGUUAUUGCAUUUUUCGAAAUUUUGUGAGACAUAUUGUACAUUGCAUGGUAAAAUGUUUUAAGAGAAUUUGGAGCAUUCUAGGCAAUUGUUGAAAUUUUUUGGAAGUAUCAAAAAAUAAGGCACACCAAAAAUACACAUACAGAUCUUGAUUUUACUAACUCGGAGGAUGUUGCAUGCGCCGUGGAU